UACGUAGGAGACGAGCGUUGUCCGGAAUUACUGGGCGUAAAGCGCGUGUAGGCGGAUGGGCAAGUCUGCUGUGAAAGCUCCUGGCUUAACCGGGAGUGGUCGGUGGAAACUGCCAAUCUGGAGGACGGUAGAGGUAGGUAGAAUUCCGGGUGGAGUGGUGAAAUGCGUAGAUAUCCGGAGGAAUACCAAAGGCGAAGGCAGUGUCCUGGCUGGCAUCUGACGCUGAGGCGCGAAAGCUAGGGGAGCGAACAGG
rnacentral:rRNA from 1 species